GGUAAACGCUGGCGGCGCACAUAAGACAUGCAAGUCGAACGGACUUAACCUAUAGUUUACUAUUGGAGCGGUUAGUGGCGGACUGGUGAGUAACGCGUAAGCAAUCUGCCUAUCAGAGGGGAAUAACAGUGAGAAAUCACUGCUAAUACCGCAUAAGCUGUGAGUAUCGCAUGAUACAAGCAGAAAAGGAGCAAUCCGCUGAUAGAUGGGCUUGCGUCUGAUUAGAUAGUUGGUAAGGUAACGGCUUACCAAGUCGACGAUCAGUAGCCGGACUGAGAGGUUGAACGGCCACAUUGGGACUGAGAUACGGCCCAG
rnacentral:rRNA from 1 species